rnacentral:rRNA from 1 species
CGAACGCUGGCGGCGUGCCUAAUACAUGCAAGUCGAGCGGACGGAUGGGAGCUUGCUCCCAGACCGUCAGCGGCGGACGGGUGAGUAACACGUGGGCAACCUGCCUGUAAGACUGGGAUAACUCCGGGAAACCGGGGCUAAUACCGGAUAACUCUUUCCCUCACAUGAGGGAAAGCUGAAAGAUGGCAUCUCGCUAUCACUUACAGAUGGGCCCGCGGCGCAUUAGCUAGUUGGUGAGGUAACGGCUCACCAAGGCGACGAUGCGUAGCCGACCUGAGAGGGUGAUCGGCCACACUGGGACUGAGACACGGCCCAGACUCCUACGGGAGGCAGCAGUAGGGAAUCUUCCGCAAUGGACGAAAGUCUGACGGAGCAACGCCGCGUGAGUGAUGAAGGUUUUCGGAUCGUAAAACUCUGUUGUCAGGGAAGAACAAGUACCGGAGUAACUGCCGGUACCUUGACGGUACCUGACCAGAAAGCCACGGCUAACUACGUG